UACGAAGGGGGCUAGCGUUGCUCGGAAUUAUUGGGCGUAAAGGGCUCGUAGGCGGUCUGUUGCGUCGGGAGUGAAAACUUACAGCUUAACUGUGAGCGUGCUUUCGAUACGGGCAGACUUGAGGUAUUCAGGGGAGAACGGAAUUCCUGGUGUAGCGGUGAAAUGCGCAGAUAUCAGGAGGAACACCGGUGGCGAAGGCGGUUCUCUGGGAAUAUCCUGACGCUGAGGAGCGAAAGUGUGGGGAGCGAACAGG
rnacentral:rRNA from 1 species